CAUCAUUCUUUAACACCUUAUUUAAAGUCUAACUGUUUUCUCCUUAGUCACAGCUUGUUGUCUUCUUCGUCCUCCUGCUGCUGUUUCAUGAGAUAUAAACGCAGCCGUGGAGCCCUCCUCUUCAAGGAGGCAGGAGAGGCGAGAGCUAUCUUCACAGGCCCAGCCCCCAUUAUCUAAGAGGAAAUCCCUUCCUGGUGUUCCCUCAGGAGACCACCAGUUACAGCUCAGGACAGAACGAGGUCACGUGCCCACCUCCAGCUACAAGGACAGCUGUGAAAGCGAGGAUCUGUCCAGGAGAAUGAGAUGGGCUUGAACCAUCAAGACUAAUGAUCAUUAAUCUUCUUACACUAGGGACAUUGGAGUCAAAACAAAGUUAGGAUUUUGUUAGGAAGCAGAAUGGGAGAACAGCGAUCUGCUAAGUAAGCCAGUGUUUGCCGUUAUAACAACGUUAGGAAUAUGCUGUUGAAAAUGCA
rnacentral:lncRNA from 1 species